rnacentral:tRNA from 2 species
GGAGAGGUACCGAAGCGGUCAUAACGGCGCGGACUCGAAAUCCGAUGGAGCGCUUGCGCUCACGUGGGUUCGAAUCCCACCCUCUCCGCCA